CGGGCCGCUUCUGGCCCGGCGCGCUCUGCGGCCCACGUGGUGCGGCGGCGAGUUGGCCGGGCGCCUGGCCUCGCGCCCCAGCCCAUUGUGUGCUGGCCCCGGGGCUUCACCCGCGGCCGCCGGCCGCCCCCGCCCCGCCCCGCCCGUGCGCGCGGGCCGUGCUCUCCCUCGGGAAGCUCGGGUGGCUGCCUCGGCACGCUCCGACGGCCCCUCCUGGGGCUGGCCCGGGACCCUGCGCCCGGCUCGCUGCGCUGCCUGCUGUCGCUUCGCAUUUUGUGCUCCAGACCUGGCAGGGCCCCCGGAGGCCUGCUUCGCUUGGCCCCACUCCGACACCCUCUUCCUGGGCAAAGGGUCGCCCGCCUACACCAAAGACUGGGAAGAUCUGAUGACUGUGGGCUUUUAUUUGUUUGUGGCACCAGGCACUGGAGCGGAGUAUCAACCCCCUCGGGCCAUGCUGGGCUCCAUGGCCCCCACCUCUCCCUGCUGACUUACAUACAGCCUUUUCCUCUCUAAGGAGCCAGGAUGGCCACUGGAGAGAGAGAAAGAGCAAACAGGGGCAGAGGGGGAGAAUCUCAAGCAGGCUCCCCGCUGAGCUUGGAGCCCGACGUGGGGCUCGAUGGUCCCUGAGACCAUGACUUGAGCUGAAGCCAAAGUCUGACGCUCAACCAACUGAGCCAUCCAGACUUCAUUUAUUUACUUGAGAGGGAGAGAUAGAGCACGAGCAGGAUGGAGCGGCAGAGAAGAGGGAGAAGCAGGCUCCCCACUGAGCAGUGAGCCUGAGGAGGGACUUGAUCCCAGGACCCUGGGAUCAUGACCUGAGCUGAAGGCAGAUGCUUAACUGACUGAGCCACCCAGGUGCCCUGUUUCUUCGGGCCUAGAAUUCAGAAGUGGCUUAUCCGGACAGUUCUGGCUCUGGGUCUCUCCUAAGUUUGCAGUCACGAGACUGGCUGGGCUCACAGUCCGCUGAGGGCUUCACUAGGCUGGAGGAUCCAUUCAAAGGGUAAAUACCUAGGAGUGGGAUUGCAGCAUUGCAUGGGAAGUAUAUGUAUGUUUGCAGGGUUGUGCAACCAUCACCACUAUCGAAUUCUGGAACAUUUUCUUCAUCCCCCAAAUAAACGCCAUACGCAUUAGCAGUCACUCCCCAUCCUCUCUUCCCCCAUGAAUCUACUUCCUGUCUCCGUGGAUUUGCCUGGACCCUUCAUGUACACAGAAUCAACACGUGAGCUCUUCUGUCUGGCUUCUUUCUCUUAGCCUAGUGUUUUCAUCCUUGUUGUAGUGUGCAUUAGUAUUUCACUCCUUCUUAAGGCAGAGUAAUAUUCCAUUGUGUGGACAUGCCAGAUGUUUACGCAUUCAUCCACCGAUGGACAUUUGGGUUGUUCCCACUUUUUGGCUCCUAUGAACUCCACCUGCGAGUUUCCGUGUGUAUGUAUGUUCUCAUUUCUCCUGUUCAUAUACCUGAGAGAACUGCAGAAUCAAAUGGUAACUCUGUGUUUAACAUUUUGAGCAACUGCCAAAUUGUUCUACACUGUAGCUGCGUUAUUUUAUAUUCACAUCAGCAUGUGUUCCAAUUUCUCCACAUCCUCUCCCACACUCCUUUUCUUUCUUUCAAAAGAUUAUGGUCAUCCUGGUGGGUGUGAAGUGGUGUAUCGCUGUGGUUUUUCCAUGGAUUGAUUAAAAUAUUGGGACUGCUGGGCGCCUGGGUGGCUCAGUUGGUUAAGCGACUGCCUUCGGCUUGGGUCAUGAUCCCAGGGUCCUGGGAUCGAGUCCCGCAUCGGGCUCCCUGCUCUGCGGGGAGCCUGCUUCUCCCUCUCCCACUCCCCCUGCUUGUGUUCCCUCUCUCGCUGUGUCGCUCUCUGUCAAGUAAAUAAAUAAAAUCUUUAAAAAAUAAAAAUAAAAAUAAAAUAAAAUAUUGGGACUGCUAGUACAUUCCUGGCAUAAAGCCUGUGUGGUCAUAGUAUAUUGUUUUUAGACAGCCCUAGAUUCUAUCUGCUAAUACUUCGCCGAAGACUUUUGCUUUUCUAUUCCUGAAUGAUAUUGAUGUGAAAUUGUUCUCUUCUUAUCCUGUAUCUGAUUUUGGUGUCAGGGUAAUUCUGAGCUCAUAAGACGAAUUAAGGAGUGCUCCCUUCUCUUCUAUUUUCUAGAAGAACUUGUGUAGAAUUCCUCCUUUAAAUUUGCCAGUAACACCUUCUGGGCCUGAAGUUUUCCUUUUCUGAAUGUUUUGAACUAUAAAUUCAGUUCAUUUGGUAAAUAAACAAUCGAUCACAUUUUCUAUUUCUUCUUUGGUGAGUUUUGGUUGUUUGUGUCUUUUAAGCCAUCUGCCCACCUCAUCACCAUUUAAAACUUCUGUGCAUCAAAGGACACUGUCAAGACAGUGAUGAAAAUGUUCUAAAAUUAAACUGUGGUGUGGUCGCAGAACUCUGUGAAGAUAUUAGAAACUAUCUUGUAAGUAGGUGACUUGCAUGUGAAUUGUAUCUCAUUAUAAGGGUUAAAAAAUCGAAUUAUGACAUGAGAACCGGUUUGGGGAAGUGAGGAACACAGCAGCUCUGGGUAUUUUCUUCUUUGCUUCUGUGUCCAUCAACUAACUUCCCCCCCACCCCGCCACUUCCCUUAUUUGAUGUAAACGUAUUGAUGAGGAUGGUGAACUUCAUUAUUUAAGUUACACAACACUCAAGGGGAGUCCGAGUGGUGGAUAUGGUGACCCCAGCAUGCUGCUGUCCCUCCCUUUUAGGAAGAGAACGAUGGGUGCACAAAGAAUCCUCACUCCUAGUUGGGGGGAAGCACAAAGCUGUUAGAGUCAUAUGGAAAUCGAAUACAGGAGAAAGAUGUGUACAUGUGACGAGCAGCCAAAGAGGUGGACUGGGCUGGUUACUCUGUCUCAGGCCCACACCCACUCCAUUCUCUGUGAUGCUGUUGCUGGACAGCUGAAAACUACAUUUCCCAGGCUUCCCUGGCAGCAGGGGGAGACCUGGAAGUGAAACAAGCUAAGGGACUUUCUCGUUCUUGUGCUCUCCCACACUAGUCAGCAGUGGCAGAUUUGGGCUCCAGCAAUGACCAUUUUUGCACCCACCUUCUUAGAAGUUCCAGCAUCAACUGCUUAGAAUCCAGCCUUUCCCCCCACAACACACAUCAAAGAUCCAAGCACUGCAGGGGCGCCUGGGUGGCUCCGUCGGUUAAACGCCAGACUCUUUGAUUUUGGCUCAGGUCAUGAUCUCAGGGUCGUGAGCUCCCUGCUGGGUGUGGAGCCUGCUUAAGAUUCUCUCUCCCUCUGCCCCUCCCCUG